rnacentral:lncRNA from 1 species
AUGGGCUCGAUAAAGGACAGAAAUGAUAUGGACCUAACAGAAGCAGCAGAUAUUAAGAAGAGAUGGCAAGAAUACACAGAAGAACUGUACAAAAAAGAUCAUGACCUGGAUAAUCAUGAUGGUGUGAUCACUCAUCUAGAGCCAGACAUCCUGGAAUGUGAAGUCAAGCGGGCCUUAGAAAGCAUCACUACAAACAAAGCUAGUGGAGGUGAUGGAAUUCCAGUUGAGCUAUUUCAAAUGCUGAAAGAUGAUGCUGUGAAAGUGCUGCACUCAAUAUGCCAGCAAAUUUGGAAAACUCAGCAGUGGCCACAGGACUGGAAAAGGUCAGUUUUCAUUACAAUCCCAGGUAAAGGCAAUGCCAAAGAAUACUCAAACUACUGCACAAUUGCACUCAUCUCACAGGCUAGUAAAGUAAUGCUCAAAAUUCUCCAAGCCAGGCUUCAGCAAUACAUGAAUCAUGAACUUCCUGAUGUUCAAGCUGGUUUUAAAAAAGGCAGAGGAACCAGAGAUCAAAUUGCCAACAUCCACUGGAUCAUGGAAAAAGCACGAGAGUUCCAGAAAAACAUCUAUUUCUGCUUUAUUGACUAUGCUAAAGCCUUUGACUGUGUGGAUCACAAUAAACUGUGGAAAAUUCUGAAAGAGAUGGGAAUACCAGAUCACCUGACCUGCCUCUUGAGAAAUCUGUAUACAGGUGAAGAAGCAACAGUUAGAAAUGGACAUGGAACAACAGACUGGUUCCAAAUAGGAAAAGGAGUAUGUCAAGGUUGUAUAUUGUCACCCUGCUUAUUUAACUUAUAUGCAGAAUACAUCAUGAGAAACGCUGGGCUGGAAGAAACACAAGCUGGAAUCAAGAUUGCUGGGAGAAAUAUCAAUAAACUCAGAUAUGCAGAUGACACCACCCUUAUGGCAGAAAGUGAAGAGGAGCUAAAAAGCCUCUUGAUGAAAGUGAAAGAGGAGAGCAAAAAAGUUGGCUUAAAGCUCAACAUUCAGAAAAUGAAGAUCAUGGCAUCCGGUCCCAUCACUUCAUGGGAAAUAGGUGGGGAAACAGUGGAAACAGCGUCAGACUUUAUUUAUUUAUUUUGCUCCAAAAUCACUGUGGAUAUUGAUUUCAGCCAUGAAAUUAAAAGACACUUACUCCUUGGAAGAAAAGUUAUGACCAACCUAGACAGCAUAUUCAAGAGCAGGGACAUUACUUUGCCGACUAAGGUCUGUCUAGUCAAGGCUAUGGUUUUUCCAGUAGUCAUGUAUGGAUGUGAGAGUUGGACUGUGAAGAAGGCUGAGCGCUGA